rnacentral:rRNA from 1 species
AUUGAACGCUGGCGGCAUGCUUUACACAUGCAAGUCGAACGGUAACAGGUUAAGCUGACGAGUGGCGAACGGGUGAGUAAUGCAUCGGAACGUGCCCGGUCGUGGGGGAUAACGCAGCGAAAGCUGCGCUAAUACCGCAUACGAUCUGAGGAUGAAAGCGGGGGACCGUAAGGCCUCGCGCGAUCGGAGCGGCCGAUGUCAGAUUAGGUAGUUGGUGGGGUAAAGGCUCACCAAGCCGACGAUCUGUAGCUGGUCUGAGAGGACGACCAGCCACACUGGGACUGAGACACGGCCCAGACUCCUACGGGAGGCAGCAGUGGGGAAUUUUGGACAAUGGGCGCAAGCCUGAUCCAGCAAUGCCGCGUGCAGGAAGAAGGCCUUCGGGUUGUAAACUGCUUUUGUACGGAGCGAAAAGGCUCCCUCUAAUACAGGGGGCUCAUGACGGUACCGUAAGAAUAAGCACCGGCUAACCACGUGCCAGCCGCCGCCGUAAUAC